GUGGUCAAGAAGUUUCCCGAGCUCGAUCUCAGCUUUUUGGACGAGGCAUCUGAAGAUGAAGCCGGGCCCUCUCCCACUGCCACUGCAGCACCCCUUCCAAGAACACCGAGCUCCCCGACUCCUACCUCAGAGGUCUGAGACCUCUGACUUUGUAUUUUUCUUUUAUUGCAAUUUUUCUUUUUCCUCUUGUCUUCAAGAAAUAUUCAAUCAAUAAAAUUGGAUUUCUCCUUUUGGGGGAUUUCUUCACUCUGCUCCCCCUUUUUUUUUGUGUUUUGCUUUCUGCAAUGAGACGCGCCUUGACGCUUUUGUCUCCCGAUGGCAGUG
rnacentral:lncRNA from 1 species